AUGCACUCCUCUAGCCGAACCUUCGCUCAGCCCUUGAGGCCUCGUCGCAUCGACACGAGCAGGCGGACCACCACCGCAGCGGAACCAAAGCCACACGGCCCUGUUUCCCAGAGGGAAGACAAAAACAUGAACACCAUUUCCUCUUCCUCACCUCGGCGCGCCACCAAAGCGACCCCUGAGUCUUCCAGGACCAGGGUGGGGGUCCAGCCUCGUGCCCCCUUGGGUCAGUCCAGAUUGGGUUUGCAGAGAAACACAGCUCCCCUCUCUACGACCAAACCCAAACCCAAACCUAAAAGUGUCCGUGCAGCAGCAGCAGCUGUGUCGAAACGUGCCCCUUUUCCUCCUCCUCUUCCUCUUCUUCCUCAUCUGGACCCCAACUGUAAUGAACCCAGCCUGCCUUGUCUGUGCUGCGACGGCCAUUCCCCCCAGGACAAUAACAGUCUGUUCAACCACAACCACAACAACAACAAUACCAUCUCCAUCAGACAGCAGCUGAAGCUUCAGCCCCCUCCACCACCUCCCCUGCUACCCCAGAGACAGGAGGGGACAGGGGGCAAGACCAAGACACAGGCCAGCCCCUCUCAGCCCCAGCCUCAGCCUCAGGUCCUGGCCCCAGCCUGCCCCCCUAAUGCCCUGGAACUGGAGAAAGGAAAAAUAGAUGAGGAGAAUGCAGAUGUUAACAAGAACACAGAUGUGGUCAUAGACAACAAGAAGGAAACAGAGGAGGAAGAGAUGGAUAACAAGAAGGAAACAGAGGAGGAAGAGAUGGAUAACAAGAAGGAAACAGAGGAGGAAGAGAUGGAUAACAAGAAGGAAACAGAGGAGGAAGAGAUGGAUAACAAGAAGGAAACAGAGGAGGAAGAGAUGGAUAACAAGAAGGAAACAGAGGAGGAAGAGGAAAACAGUGUGGAUGUUGAAGUUGAUGAUGAGGAGGAGGGAGAUGAUGAUGAUGACGACACGUUGGUCCCAUCGUGCUGCGACUGCCCUCCCUCUCUCCUGGAUCUCUCCCUGACCUCCUCCACGUCCUCAUCCUCCACUUCCAUCAGCUCCUGCUCCGAUCUGGAGUCAGACUGCGCCGAUCUCUCCACCUCUCUCUCGUCCUCUGGCCACAAGUGGAACUCUGAUCUGUCAAUCUCUCAGGACCACAUUCAUGUUCCUGAAUGCUACCCAGCCUCCCGUUCACCCCCUGUCCUGCUCCUCAACCCCAAACCCCCUUCUGUCUCUCGUUGCCCUUCCUCCCCCCCACCCGCCUGCUCCCCAGACGAGGGCUACCCCUCCGCCCCCGCCUCCCCCUCCUCAUCCGACUACCUGGGGGUCAAAGGUCAGACAGGCUUAGGGUCAGAGGUCACCAAACUAGGCCUCCUGGACUUCCUGGAGUCAGUGGGAGACUUUGGAAAGAUGGAGCGCAUUAGCCAGGUGAUUCAGGUGGCUCGCUGGGACCUGGAGGGGGAUCCUCAGGGGGAUCUACUGAGGGAUCGACUGGAUCACCUGGACCGACUGGAGAGUGUCAACAGGCAGGUGAAGCUGGCCCACAUCACCAGGCUCCAUGAGAAGGCACUGGAUCUAGGCGAUCUGGGCAAGCUGUAUAAGGGCCGGGGAGGGUCUUUGGGAGAUUCCCAGGAGUUCUCUGAUGCUGGAGUGGACCUGACAGCACCUUCAGACUGUGACGAGCCCCUGGUCUUACAAUCAGAGACCUCUUCGCCCAUAGAGCCCCCACCGAGACCCCCCAAACCCCCUGCCCGCUAUGCCAGCGUGAACUCUGAACUMCACACCUACAUCAACAUCAGCCGUGACAUCACCCCCUCCGUCUCUGUCUGCACCUCUCGCUCCUCAUCCCCCACUUUCUACACCUUCAGUGUGAGAAGGCCCUCCCUCCUUCCCCACGCUCCGCCCCCCUCCUCUUCUCUGUCAGCCCAUCCCUUACUUUACCUCUACAAAUCUCCCCCUCUCCCAUUCCCCUCCCCUCCUCCACUCCCCCCAUCCCUCCCCCUCGGAGGAAGCACCUAG
ensembl:lncRNA